rnacentral:rRNA from 1 species
UGAACGUUGGCGGCGUGGAUUAGGCAUGCAAGUCGUACGCUCCGCAAGGGGCGCGGCGCAAGGGUGAGUAAGGCGACGGCAACCAACCCCGCGGCCGGGCAUAGCCACUCGAGAGGGUGGGUAAUUCCCGGCGCCCCAGGAGACCGGCAUCGGUUUUUUGGGAAAGGUGAGACUCCGCCGUGGGACGGACCGUCGUGGUAUCAGCUUGUUGGCGGGGUAAUGGCCCACCAAGGCGAUGACGCCUACCGGGCGUGCGAGCGUGGCCCGGCACACUGGGACUGAGACACUGCCCAGACUCCUACGGGAGGCUGCAGUCGAGAAUCUUCGGCAAUGGGCGCAAGCCUGACCGAGCGACGCCGCGUGGAGGACGAAGGCCUUCGGGUUGUAAACUCCUGUCGAGGGGGAACAAGGGGCCGUGCAGAGCGGUCCUUUG